CUAACAUGUAAGUCUUUAAUCCAUCUUGAAUUAAUUUUUGUAUAAGGUGUAAGGAAGGGAUCCAGUUUCAGCUCUUUUAAUACUUCUGGACUUCUUUAAAUGUCUAGAAGUGGAAUUACUGAGCAAAGGAGACAAACAUUUUUAUGACUUUCUGGAAGGGCUGGCCAAUUUACAGUGCUCCUAAAAAUGAUCAGAGUUGCUCACUUUCCAUCCCAAUAAUUACAGACUUUGAACAGGCAAAUAGGUAAAAACAAAGGCACAGAGAAUUCCAGAGUUUCAAUUAAGAGGCAGGGAAGAGACAGUUAGCCUGAGCAGAAGCUUCAAGAGUGGAGGUAUUUAUAGCAACCCCAAGAACAGACUAACACUACUACCCUUCUUAGGACAAAAAUGAUCAGAGAUGCAGAUUUAAUAUUUUGUGCCUUACACAGGCACUAAGCUAGCUGGCAGUGCCAGUGUGGUGUGCUUAAUGCUUCCAUGUAGUGUUCUUAAAAGUUUAAAGAAAUCUGACUUCCUAGAUAGCCUAAGUGGUGGGCAGUGGGGGGCUACUUGAUAUUUCCUUCCCUAGGGUCCCAGUCAGAGGCACGGUAACUCAAUACUUGUUUAUCCAGAGGACAGGACAGCUGCCAAGGGACCAAGGCUCAAGGAAGACAGACAGGGUACCUAAUUGGGGAAGGCUCCGACAGAGCAAGGUUUAGCUCACAAGGUCAAUCACACACAAUUUUUAUUUCAAAACCAACUUUAGGCUGGGUGUGGUGGCUCACGCCUGUAAUCUCAGCACUUUGGGAGAUGGAGGCGGGAUCACUCAAGGUCAGGAGUUUGAGCCAGCCUGGCCAACAUAGUGAAAUCCCAUCUCUAUUAAAAUACAAAAAUUAGCCAGGCAUGGUGGCAGGCACAUGAGGCAGGAGAAUCGCUUGAACCUGGGAGGUGGAGGUUGCAGUGAGCCAAAAUCACGCCACUGCACUACA
rnacentral:lncRNA from 1 species